rnacentral:rRNA from 1 species
UACGUAGGGUGCAAGCGUUAAUCGGAAUUACUGGGCGUAAAGCGUGCGCAGGCGGUUUCGUAAGUCUGUCGUGAAAUCCCCGGGCUCAACCUGGGAAUUGCGAUGGAGACUGCAAGGCUAGAAUCUGGCAGAGGGGGGUAGAAUUCCACGUGUGAGCAGUGAAAUGACGUAGAGAUGUGGAGGAACACCGAUGGCGAAGGGCAGCCCCCUGGGUCAAGAU